CAGUAGCCGCGGGAAUACGAGGGGAGCUAGCGUUGUUCGGAAUUACUGGGCGUAAAGCGCGCGUAGGCGGCUUUUUAAGUCAGAGGUGAAAGCCCGGGGCUCAACCCCGGAAUUGCCUUUGAAACUGGAAAGCUAGAAUCUUGGAGAGGUCAGUUGAAUUCCGAGUGUAGAGGUGAAAUUCGUAGAUAUUCGGAAGAACACCAGUGGCGAAGGCGACUGACUGGACAAGUAUUGACGCUGAGGUGCGAAAGCGUGGGGAGCAAACAGGAUUAGAUACCCCAGUAGUCCCUGUCUCUUAUAC
rnacentral:rRNA from 1 species